GUGGCGAGGACUACAUUUCCCAGGAUGCCGUGCGCUGGGUUUCGUUCGGCGCUGAAUAGAGACCCGAAAUUGAGCUCUUCGGGGACAAUUGGAAGUGGCUUUUAUCACUUUGGACCUGAUGGCUAAAGAAAGGAGCCAUAUACCUCCAGAAGACUGCUCCCUUGGCCAUAAGAGAGAACAUUGGAAGGACCAUUCAAGCAAAUCAUGGAAGACACCUAACAGAGUGUCAGCAAAUGUUUAUUAAACUACAUUAAUUGACUGAUCCCAUAACACUUAAAAGACCUAUUAGAGAGGUGGAGUCAAGUCCAGUAAGAAACACCACCAAAAGCACUGUCCAAACCCUCCCCCUCUGUACAAAGUGCAGUGGGCGUCAGCAUGGAGACCUCCCAGUUCUGUGUAUUGGUAAAUCCACAAGGAAAGGAAUGGAGGCUUCCUCCCAUGGACUCAGAAUCCAGAGAAUCUCUGCUGCUACCACAGAAGGCAUUUCGGAAAGAUGUGAUUACUGAGCCAAGUGAGCAUUCCCAAAUCCUUGCUAUUUCCCAGACACAUGAGCUCAACAGUAUUGACAGAGCUUAGGGAGCCUGUUAUGUCCUACAGAUGGAAUGUUGUAGAACACAACCUAGACAUCAUCGAAUGUGGCCAUGAAAUAUUUCCAGUGAAAGUUUUAUUUCUACUUCCCCACCAUUCAGCUUCUCAAUCUACUGGUCAUGAGAAGUUACUUUGCUUGAUCAGAAUUUGAGUUGAAAUUUUUUCAGAGAAUAAAGAAAAUUCCCAAAGGUCUAACACAGAACAAAUGGCCAUGCUAAAUCAUACUAAAUAAUUCAGUGCAGCACUUCCAGACGUCUGCAAGAUUCUUCUUGGCACAGAUUCUUUUCUAUGCUGAGUGUGUGCCUGUGGUUAUCUCCAUGUUCUUAUAAGACUCAGCUCCACUGACAGCAGUUAACUUGGACCCAACCAGAUCAACUAAGGUCCUUCUCUAGCAUUGGAUUUGGCCCAGAGAGCCUCUUGGCAUCUCAGUGGUUGAAACUUUGUGAUAUGUAAUUUAAGAACUAUCAGUAGCCAUAUUUGCCUGCUUCUGAAGAGUGCUGGUUUACAGUGAGAGGGAAUAAGGCCUACCUAUGGAGAGAAACAGAGACAGAAACAAUCCCAGUGAGGUUCAUGUUUCUGGUUCCAGUUGUUCCUGAUGCCCCUCUGCUUCCGUGCACUUCCAGAAGCAGGAGCUGAACACAGGAAGUGGUGCCUUAAGGGAAUGGAGGCCACGAAGGCUGAUGAGGUCCGGAGGUUGAUGAGGUCCAGAGGUUGAGGAGCCAGGAAGAAGGUAGACCUCAAGUCCUAAAAUCACCACAAUGCAACAUCUCUAGGCCAGGCAUUCUAUUAAGCAAAAGGAAAGCCUACGUUUAACAUUUUUGCAAACAUCAAAACAAAAUUAUGUAUUUGGAAUAGAGGAAUGAGGAGAAGUUGGAGAAGUAUGCCCUAGAGAACCAUAGAGUCGGAGGGACUAUAGUCUCUCAGCAACUGAGAACGGAGCAUCUUGAAUGGUGCUGGGACAGAGAAACUAAACUCUGGUAGGAAAAGGGUCCCAAGGGAGACAAGGCACGGGGCCAAGGAAGACUGGGGGAGACAGCGACCUGCCGAGGCACUGGAGCUGCAGAAUCACUGGGGCUCACAGAUUUAUGAGUUUGUGUGGCAUUCACAUGGAUCUGCCCUUCUGUCAAAGUGGCCAUAACGGAUGUGAUCUCACAAAGGUAGGGCUGAUCAGCGCCAAUGUCACGCUCUAAGUCGUAGUCAUACGUUUGCAGCCUGCAAAAUGAUGGAAUGGAAUAGACCCUGUUCACAGCGAUGUUCCCUUCUUGGGAAUUGCAACUGGAGAAGACAGACCCUCACUGGCCAUGUCUCUACACCAGUGCCAAUCUAGGACAACCAGAGUGUCUAUUCCAAAGAGUUUGAAAUUUUGAGCUGAAAGAUACAGAAAUAACAGACUAGUAGAAAGUGUAGGAACUUCUGCCCCUAAAGUUGCCAGAGUUAUUUUAAUUCUGUUAUUUCUCUGUGGUUUGGAUAUAGCCUAUAUUAGUUUUCUGUAGCUGUUGUGGCAAAUUAGUACACACUGAGUGGCUAAAAAACAUGAAUUCGUUCCUUAAUAGACAUUAAUAAUACUUCUCUCAUAGUUCUGGAGGCCAGAAGUCCAAAAUCAAGUUGUCAGCAGUAUUAUACUCCCUAUGGAGGCUGUAGGGGAGAAUUUCUUCCUUGCCUUCCCUAGGCAAGGUUUAUGGCUCCAUUACUCCCAUCUCUGCCUCUGUCUGCACAUCAUCUUCUUCCGUGUCUUUCCCCCUUUAUGUGUGUCUUAUAGAGAUACUUGCCAUUGGAUUUAGGGCCCACCGGGAUUAUUUCCUCAUCUCAAGAUCCUUAACUUAAUUACCUCAACAAAGACCCUUUUUCUAAAUAAAGUCACAUUCACAGGUUCUGGGGGUUCUGAUGUGAAUGUAUUUUGGGGGGGCUACCAUCAUUGAAUCCAAUACCCCACCCUUCCAAUUACUUCCUCAAACUAAGCAGUGCCCAUUUCCAUCACUUGCAACCAAAAAAAAAAUUAGUUUAGGGUCUCUCGAUGCUAGCCAUGACAGUUGUAAGUGGUUUGUACCACCUGUAUACUAAGCUUGACUUCAGAAAUUCUGCAAUUUCAAUGUAGUGUUACCUUGGAACUUAGUGAAAGUGCAAGUUUCUGCCUUCCACCCCAGUUUCUCAAUAAAUUGGUCCAGGAAUCUGCAUUUUAACAAUUCUCAGGUGGUCCAAUGAGAAAAGAACAGGAAAAAUUACGAAGGCUCAGACCCUUUAACGUCCAGUUCAAAUAAAAGCAAAAGGAAAAGCAAUGAAAAAUAACUUGAAAACUUUAAUGAUAUUGUUUAUAUAGUAAAAACAUAAAAUCUUUUAAAUAAGGUACAUUCAAUUUCUCAGAGCAUCUAAUAUUCAGAUAAUUUAUAUUUCAUAUACUUUCCAACAUUAAACAAUUGACUAAGUAAUGCAUUUUCUAAAAAAUGAUAUUACAACUUAUAUAAGUAAAAG